GUACCUGAAAUGGGGUGCCUACCUUCUAGGUAAGCUGAGAUGAUACCCAGGAGCCUAAGCUCCACACCUGAUCCAGGUAAUACUGGCGUAGGAAUUUUCUAUUAAAUUGCAA
rnacentral:ncRNA from 1 species